CAUUGUACGCUGAUCAGUAACAUCGCCUUGUCGCAAAAUGCACUGUAUAUGAAAGCGCUGUUUCUGAGCGUUAUUUUGAUGUAUUGCUCGAUGGAUUUCGCCAAGUAUAAAGCUUUAAACUUUGCGUUCAAAGACAGGGAAUUCGAGUUUCGGCUUUCACAAUUACAUUCGCAAAGUAACUGUGUCUGAAAGUGUAAAACAUCGCUUCUUCAGGAACAAAAUGGACCUGGCCGACGAUGCAUAUUUUAACAAAUGAAAGCCUUGAUGUGUAGUAUAAUAAUCAAACUUCUAAUUGUAUACGGCACAAAUGGAAAAGCGGUGCUAAGUAACUUGUUUAAGAUGCUUUAAUAUCAUGAAAUGCGGGAUUUUCUGUAAAUUUUUAUAAGGCUGUGUCCACAAUUGUUAAAGUCUCAUGCUAGCCGGAAGUACGUAACUACGGUUUGGUAGAAUUAUCAUCAAACUUCAACUUAAGAUAUGUUCCCGGAAGAUUAUAUCCUUUCCUCUAGAAGAUUAUUUACUGAUAAUACAGGCUUGUUUCUGCUUGUACAUAACGAUACAUACUAUAAAACAAAUGCAGUUAAAAGCAGAGUUAGCAAACACGACUCAAGAAUCCUUGACAACUGACAUAUGAUUGUAAAUUAUUUGAAAAAGUAAGUCACUGAGGAUGGAAAAGGUGUGUUAUCUUUCUAGUAUAUUCUGCAAGUGGCGAUACAUUUCAAUUAUGUUUGCAGACACUUCAAUAACCUCUACUAAUGAGAAAAUAUUAAUCAAUUAUUGCCAUAUUCCUGUUUUAUGUCCAGUGAUCUAGUAGGAAAAAUGGUUAUUUUAGAGAAAGGGAACAGAUGAUCAUCAUACAUGUGCUUGGUAUACAAGGAAAAAACAACUUGAAGUCGAACUGGGGCUUUAGUUUUGGAUACUGUAAAUAGAUAACAAAGUAGCAGGAUGUUUUAAAGAGAAGACUGAAAAAUGUGCAUCAACAACAUUGGUUAACAUCAAUUCAAUGAUGCUGAUGCAUGACAGAAGGAGCUAGUAUUUAUUGCUAAGUUAUAAGUAUGAACAUUUUGAAUAAUACAAUGACUUGUUGGCUGUCUGCAUAUCAUAAAUUUAAUGCAGAAUAUAUAGAGAGAAUGUGGACUUAACACAGUGAGAAUUGUUUCUAGUUGUAGAAUAUUGACUUCUAGCCAUUGGAGUUGAAAAAUCUAAUUGAGAAUAUUUUCUUGGAUGAAA
rnacentral:lncRNA from 1 species